AUACGGAUGGUGCGAGCGUUGUUCGGAAUUACUGGGCGUAAAGGGCGCGGAGGCGGCGAUGUAAGUCAAAUGUGAAAGUCCUCGGCUUAACCGGGGAAGUGCAUCUGAAACUGCAUUGCUUGAGUAUGGGAGAGGAAAGUGGAAUUCCCGGUGUAGAGGUGAAAUUCGUGGAGAUCGGGAGGAAUACCGGUGGCGAAGGCGACUUUCUGGACCAAUACUGACGCUGAGGCGCGAAAGCGUGGGGAGCAAACAGGAGUAGAUACCCUAGUAGUCC
rnacentral:rRNA from 1 species